UUGUAAUGGCCCAAUUUCGUCCGGGCCUUAAACAGAAACCAAAAACAAAAAUAAAAAUAAAUCCAAAGUCCAAUUUACAACACCAAGCCAAUUUACAAAUGAAUAGAAAAAUAAAUUACAAGCCUAAAUGAAAAAGAAGUCCAAUGGCCCAAAACUAACAAAAACCUGAAGGCCCAACAACCUAAACUAAGUUUUUAGAAAAUUGAAAACCCUAGCCUCCACGCUGCACCCCC
rnacentral:lncRNA from 1 species